CGAUUGAAUGAAUAAAACUGGUAUUGUCACAGUUUCAACUGUAAACAAUGUUCAGCAGUUUACAUAGACGAAAGCAAACGCGCAUUAAAAAUCAGAUUGAAUGAACACAAAAUAAAAUUUAGCUCAGAAACAGUGGUCUCUGCACAUAGAAGAACUCUCUCACAUGAAUUUGACUAGGACAAAGCUAAGAUAUUAGAUUAUGAAAAUAAUUUCAAGAAACGCAGAAUAUCCGAAAUGUUACUUAUUAACUUACAUGAAAACAGUUUAAAUAGAAAAGAGGAUAUAAAAUAUCUUAGUCAUAUCUAUAAUCCUUUAUUAAGAUUGAUGAAGAGGAGAUGACAAAUGAAUAUUGUGUUAUAUAUAUAUCGCAGUAAUACUUGAUUUCUUACUUUUAUUUUGAAUUUUGACUGGCUACAAGAUACUCGUUUUAGCCUACCAGAAUUGACUACGGGAGAUAUCAGCCUGAAGUGGUCGGCAAAUUUGCUGACGAAACGUUGCUGAAUAAAAUUAAAAUUCAAAUUUUCACAAGCGAUUAAUGCCAGGAUCCAUUUGCUUAUUCUCUAUGAUCUAAACGUUUACCGAAUUAAGGGAAAGGUAUCGUUCUACUAAUUAAAGGAAAAUUCAUGGUCGAAACAUUAAUCAAUUACAUCUCAUACGCGUGUAUCAUUAUUUGUUCUUGCCAUAACACUACUAAACUAAUUAUAUAAGUGUACUACCAUGGACAUUUACAAAAUUAUAAAUAUUGAAAAGAGAUAUGAUAACAAAUAUGAGAUGCUAUAACCUUCACUACGUUACACAUGCGCAAUGUACACAUACUCGCAAAAAUGAAUUGAACUGAUUGUCAAUAGUUAAUA